AAAUUGAAGAGUUUGAUCAUGGCUCAGAUUGAACGCUGGCGGCAGGCCUAACACAUGCAAGUCGAACGGUAACAGGAAGCAGCUUGCUGCUUUGCUGACGAGUGGCGGACGGGUGAGUAAUGUCUGGGAAACUGCCUGAUGGAGGGGGAUAACUACUGGAAACGGUAGCUAAUACCGCAUAAUGUCGCAAGACCAAAGAGGGGGACCUUCGGGCCUCUUGCCAUCGGAUGUGCCCAGAUGGGAUUAGCUAGUAGGUGGGGUAACGGCUCACCUAGGCGACGAUCCC
rnacentral:rRNA from 1 species